rnacentral:rRNA from 1 species
CCAGACUCCUACGGGAGGCAGCAGUGGGGAAUAUUGCACAAUGGGGGGAACCCUGAUGCAGCGACGCCGCGUGGGUGAAGGAGCACCUCGGUGCGUAAAGCCCUAUCGGCAGGGAAGAAACAGACGGUACCUGACUAAGAAGCCCCGGCUAACUACGUGCCAGCAGCCGCGGUAAUACGUAGGGGGCAAGCGUUAUCCGGAUUCACUGGGUGUAAAGGGAGCGUAGACGGCGACGCAAGUCUGGAGUGAAAGCCCGCGGCCCAACCGCGGGACUGCAUUGGGAACUGGCGCGCUGGAGUGCCGGAGGGGUAGGCGGAAUUCCUAGUGUAGCGGUGAAAUGCGUAGAUAUCAGGAGGAACACCGGCGGCGAAGGCGGCCUGCUGGACCGCGACUGACGUUGAGGCUCGAAAGCGUGGGGAGCAAACAGGAUUAGAUACCCCAGUA